GUGCUAGCUUUGACAGCACAUGUACUGCCCUUGAAGCGAUGCGGAAGAGCUGAGCAUGGUCCCUGCGCAAGAGUGACAUGCUAAGUUGUGAAGCAUUCCAUCCUUGA